UACGUAGGGUGCGAGCGUUGUCCGGAAUUAUUGGGCGUAAAGAGCUCGUAGGCGGCCUGUCGCGUCGACCGUGAAAACCCGCAGCUCAACUGCGGGCUUGCGGUCGAUACGGGCAGGCUGGAGUUCGGUAGGGGAGACUGGAAUUCCUGGUGUAGCGGUGAAAUGCGCAGAUAUCAGGAGGAACACCGGUGGCGAAGGCGGGUCUCUGGGCCGAUACUGACGCUGAUGCGCGAAAGCGUGGGGAGCAAACGGG
rnacentral:rRNA from 1 species